AAAGCUUUAAGUUAAUUAAAACUAUACGUCUUCAAAAUGUACAAUUUUAAGCUUUG
rnacentral:tRNA from 1 species